rnacentral:rRNA from 1 species
ACUGAUCGAGUCGUCCUGCGCGGAAGAUGUAACGGGGCUAAGCCAGUCACCGAAGCUGCGGAUAUCAAUUUAUUGAUAUGGUAGGAGAGCGUUCUGUAAGCCUGCGAAGGUGUCUUGUAAAGGAUGCUGGAGGUAUCAGAAGUGCGAAUGCUGACAUGAGUAGCGAUAAUGGGGGUGAAAAGCCUCCACGCCGUAAGCCCAAGGUUUCCUGUUCAACGUUCAUCGGAGCAGGGUGAGUCGGCCCCUAAGGCGAGGCAGAGAUGCGUAGCUGAUGGGAAGCAGGUUAAUAUUCCUGCACCGUCGUUAGAUGCGAUGGGGGGACGGAUCGCGGAAGGUUGUCCGGGUGUUGGAAGUCCCGGUUUCUGUAUCAGAGAAGGCUGUUAGGCAAAUCCGGCAGCGUAAUUCAAGGGUAUGGGACGAGUGAACUUGUUCACGAAGCAAUCGGAAGUGGUUCCAAGAAAAGCCUCUAAGCUUCAGUCUAACGAGACCGUACCGCAAACCGACACAGGUGGGCGAGAUGAGUAUUCUAAGGCGCUUGAGAGAACUCGGGAGAAGGAACUCGGCAAAUUUGUACCGUAACUUCGGGAUAAGGUACGCCCUAGUAAUUUGACAGGCCUGCGCUUGAAGGAUGAAAGGGUUGCAAUAAAAAGGUGGCUGCGACUGUUUAAUAAAAACACAGCACUCUGCAAACACGAAAGUGGACGUAUAGGGUGUGACGCCUGCCCGGUGCUGGAAGAUUAAAUGAUGGGGUGCAAGCUCUUGAUUGAAGUCCCAGUAAACGGCGGCCGUAACUAUAACGGUCCUAAGGUAGCGAAAUUCCUUGUCGGGUAAGUUCCGACCUGCACGAAUGGCGUAACGAUGGCCACACUGUCUCCUCCCGAGACUCAGCGAAGUUGAAAUGUUUGUGAUGAUGCAAUCUACCCGCGGCUAGACGGAAAGACCCCAUGAACCUUUACUGUAGCUUUGCAUUGGACUUUGAACCAAUCUGUGUAGGAUAGGUGGGAGGCUUUGAAGCGGGGACGCUAGUUCUCGUGGAGCCAUCCUUGAAAUACCACCCUGGUUUGUUUGAGGUUCUAACCUUGGUCCGUUAUCCGGAUCGGGGACAGUGCAUGGUAGGCAGUUUGACUGGGGCGGUCUCCUCCCAAAGUGUAACGGAGGAGUUCGAAGGUACGCUAGGUACGGUCGGACAUCGUGCUAAUAGUGCAAUGGCAUAAGCGUGCUUAACUGCGAGACUGACAAGUCGAGCAGGUACGAAAGUAGGACAUAGUGAUCCGGUGGUUCUGUAUGGAAGGGCCAUCGCUCAACGGAUAAAAGGUACUCUGGGGAUAACAGGCUGAUUCCUCCCAAGAGUUCAUAUCGACGGGGGAGUUUGGCACCUCGAUGUCGGCUCAUCACAUCCUGGGGCUGUAGCCGGUCCCAAGGGUAUGGCUGUUCGCCAUUUAAAGUGGUACGUGAGCUGGGUUUAAAACGUCGUGAGACAGUUUGGUCCCUAUCUGCCGUGGGCGUUGGAAGUUUGAAGGGGGCUGCUCCUAGUACGAGAGGACCGGAGUGGACGAACCUCUGGUGUAUCGGUUGUCACGCCAGUGGCAUUGCCGAGUAGCUAAGUUCGGAAGAGAUAACCGCUGAAAGCAUCUAAGCGGGAAACUCGCCUUAAGAUGAGACUUCCCGGGAACUAGAUUCCCCUAAAGGGUCGUUCGAGACCAGGACGUUGAUAGGUCAGGUGUGGAAGUGCAGUAAUGCAUUAAGCUAACUGAUACUAAUUGCCCGUGCGGCUUGUUC